CAUCUUUCACUCACAACAAACAAUCUCAAUCGAUUGUUCCGCUAUCUCUUCUCUUCAAGGUAGAAAAAUCGAUCACCUUUUUGGAUUAUUUAGAGCUAUUUACUGUGUGGACUGUUGUAAUUGUUUCUGUGAGUAAUUUUCUCUCUGAUCUGUUUACCUUUUCUUUUUGACAUAUUUCCCGAUUCUUGUGUUCUUUUGUAGUUCUGUGAUGGCUAUGCUUUCAAGGUUUUUGGUGGUUUUGUGGCUAUAUUUCCCGAUUUAUUAUUUUAUCUGUCAUUGAGUAUUGCUGGUACUGCUAGGUUUGCAAUUGAUUGUGGUUUGAUUUAUCAUGGAUUCCCUAAACCCUAAACAUUAUUUACCCACAAAAAAAGGAUUGGUGGUUUUGCUUUGGCUCCCUUCUGCAAUGUUAGCUAGUGCUUCCAAAAUUUGAAACGUAUUUGUUUUCUAAUUUUUUGGGUUCUAGUUUGGAAAGUUCAUAUCAAAAUUCAUGGUGUUAUCUUGGUAGGUUAUAUUCAGUUUUUUGCUUGAAUAUUGAAAUAGUGGGCUCAUAUUGUGUGUAAUGCAAUUUUCGUUAUUUUUACUUGGUGAUAUGAUUGUGGAACUCAAGUUUUGGUUCUGUUUACUUUGGUUUUGGUGGUUUUAGGGGGGUUUAGACUAUUUUCUGAUUCUUGUGUUCUUUUGUCGUUUUAUGAUUGCUAUGUUUUCAAGGUUUUUGGUGGUUCUGUGAGGUGAUAUACUUUUCCGGUUUCAGAUUGGAAGUUACCAAUAAGUAUGUAUGCCAUCCGAAUGGGUGGAAACCAAUCCAGUUAGAGGAAUCUCUCAUGUCAGCCCUUGAAAAUUGAUUAUUUUUACUGCUUCCUUUGCUUGAUAUAUGUGCUGUUAGAAAAGGAAACAUAUCUGCAAAUUUGAGCCAAUCUGUUUUGUUGUGUUUAAAUUGUUAUAUGCUAUACUGGUGUAGCUUCAUUUUGUUCCCUGCAAGUUGUUGUAAGCUGUACGCCCUAUUAUGUGAGCUUAUCUUUCUCUUAAAAUUUCAUAUAUGUUGCAUAAAUACUUAAAGUUUGAUAAGCUUAUUGAAUCAGAGGGGAAACAGACAAUUUAGUCCUGGAGAAGUAAUUUGAUUUGUUAUGCACCCUUUUUCUUUAAUUGUCAUACUGUUGUUCUUCUUCACAUUGUCUCUCAAAACGUAUCUGAGAAUAGAACCAUGUUAUGAUAGCCUAUUGCAUGUCAAGGCUAGUGGAAACACACUGAGAAUUAAUUAUUACAUCCAUAUAUUACAAACACCGAGUUUGAUAGUCAAAACAUGCUUAGACUAUACAUACCACUCCACUGUACACCAUAAAGAAAGUAAGAACAAGCAUAUAGAAGCAAACUGUUCAUACAAAUCCUUUUAUAAUAGAAAUUGCAUUGAUUUGUUGCAUCACUGUUUUGUCUUAUUCUUUUCCUUCAUGAUCCAACUUGCAUUUCAAUAUUUCACUCUCACUUUAUUAGAUCUUCGGCCGUGAUAGCUUAUGGUACCUUUACACACCACAACCAUAUCCUUGUGUCUCAUUUAAUAGUACUACAAAUUAGCUGCCUAGAGUUUGAUAUCUGAAUUGCAGUUGGACACAUGCUCAAAAAGUGCUGCUUUAUUUAUUUAAGUAUUUUUUUCCAAUUGUUAAUUUUGGCCAUUGUUGGUUAGUGCAUUGCUAUGUUAUGAUGCUCUGAGGUGUCCAAGAUAAAGACUGGAUUUUGUUAUGCUCUAAAAUGUUUUAGUGCCUGAAGUGUAUCUAUACUAGACAAUAAUAUCCAGGAUUUCACACCUAUAACAUGUCUUUGAUAUAGAAAACAAUAGGUAUAUAAGUAGAUAGAAAAUACUUCAACAAUUUUACCAGCUAAGUUAUUAUAAGUUGAUCUUUAUUAUUGUAUUAUAAUUUUACCAAACCCUAUAUUUAACUGAGUCUAAUAUUUGACCGAGUCUAAUCAUAAUCAGGCCAUACCAAAUGAGCAAGUAGGGUCAAGUCAUACUAACCCCUAAUAUAUAUAUAUAUAUAUAUAUAUAUAUAAAACAAUGCUCUGAGGAAUAUAAAUUUGAUCAUGGUUAAAAUUAACAGAUAUAUCCACACCAAUAAUAUAUAUAUAUAUAUAUAUA
rnacentral:lncRNA from 1 species